AUUGGACGCUGGCGGCAGGCCUAACACAUGCAAGUCGAACGGUAACAGGAAACAGCUUGCUGUUUCGCUGACGAGUGGCGGACGGGUGAGUAAUGUCUGGGAAACUGCCUGAUGGAGGGGGAUAACUACUGGAAACGGUAGCUAAUACCGCAUAACGUCGCAAGACCAAAGAGGGGGACCUUCGGGCCUCUUGCCAUCGGAUGUGCCCAGAUGGGAUUAGCUAGUAGGUGGGGUAACGGCUCACCUAGGCGACGAUCCCUAGCUGGUCUGAGAGGAUGACAGGCCAGACUGGAACUGAGACACGGUCCAGACUCCGACGGGAGGCAGCAGUGGGGAAUAUUGCACAAUGGGCGCAAGCCUGAUGCAGCCAGGCCGCGUGUAUGAAGAAGGCCUUCGGGUUGUAAAGUACUUUCAGCGGGGAGGAAGGGAGUAAAGUUAAUACCAUUGCUCAUUGACGUUACCCGCAGAAGAAGCACCGGCUAACUCCGUGCCAGCCGCCGCCGUAA
rnacentral:rRNA from 1 species